UGCAAAUGAUGAUUUUUCUCACGAUGGUCUUCCAAGCCUUCAUGGUUCUGACGAUAGUGCCUUUUGGCAAUACUGAUGCAGUCAC